UGCUUGGUGGACCUUUGUUUUCAUGGCA
rnacentral:piRNA from 1 species